rnacentral:misc_RNA from 1 species
GAUGAAGAACGUAGUGAAAUGCGAUAAGUAAUGUGAAUUGCAGAAUUCAGUGAAUCAUCGAAUCUUUGAACGCACAUUGCGCCCCCUGGUAUUCCGGGGGGCAUGCCUGUCCGAGCGUCAUUGCUGCCCUCAAGCACGGCUUGUGUGUUGGGCCCCCGUCCCCGGUUUCCCCCGGGGACGGGCCCGAAAGGCAGCGGCGGCACCGCGUCCGGUCCUCGAGCGUAUGGGGCUUUGUCACCCGCUCUGUAGGCCCGGCCGGCGCCAGCCGACACCCAACUUUAUUUCUAAGGUUGACCUCGGAUCAGGUAGGGAUACCCGCUGAACUUAAGCAUAUCAAUAAGCGGAGGA